rnacentral:ribozyme from 1 species
UGCCCAGCUACUCCUAUUCCUACCUCCGCGUGGUACCGGCUGGAAACUAUGAGCAAAUUUAGGGAAAAUCGGGUAACCAACCCCGGGGGGAACUUGUGUCGUAGGCUGACAGGGAAGA